rnacentral:tRNA from 1 species
GGUUGAGUAGCCAAGUGGUUGAAGGCAGGAGCCUGCAAAGCUCUUAAACGUGGGUUCAAAUCCCACCUCGACCU